rnacentral:rRNA from 1 species
UCCUACGGGAGGCAGCAGUAGGGAAUCUUUCACAAUGGGCGAAAGCCUGAUGGAGCAACGCCGCGUGCAGGAUGAAGGCCUUCGGGUUGUAAACUGCUUUUAUAAGCGAGAAAUAUGAUGGUAACUUAUGAAUAAGGAUCGGCUAACUACGUGCCAGCAGCCGCGGUCAUACGUAGGAUCCGAGCAUUAUCCGGAGUGACUGGGUGUAAAGAGUUGCGUAGGUGGCAUAGAAAGUCGGUAGUGAAAUCUGGUGGCUCAACCAUUCAGGCUACUGCCGAAACUUCUAAGCUCGAGACCGUUAGGGGUAACUGGAAUUUCUAGUGUAGGAGUGAAAUCCGUAGAUAUUAGAAAGAACACCGAUAGCGUAGGCAGGUUACUGGGACGGUUCUGACACUAAGGCACGAAAGCGUAGGGAGCAAACAGGAUUAGAUACCCUGGUAGUCC